GCCCGGGUGGUGGAAUUGGUCAGACACGGUCGCCUUAAGAGCGACUGCCUAGCGGCAUGAGGUUUCGAGUCCCUCCCCGGGUA
rnacentral:tRNA from 1 species